UCGAAAAUUUUUCUCAUCGGGCGCAGCCUGAAAGGAGCGACGCCGCGUGGGGGAUGAAGGGCUUCGGUCCGUAAACCCCUGUCGUUUGUGAACAAGGCUUGCAGGUUAAUAGUUUGCAAGUUGAUAGUAACGAAAGAGGAAGGGACGGCUAACUCUGUG
rnacentral:rRNA from 1 species